UUCGCAUAUCAUCACUAGUAGACCAACCCUGCACCACAACAGUGCGCUACUAGGACAGACUCCAUCCAACACUCUCCACUGGGGUAGUAAAGCAGCGACAGAGCACACUACAGCAGCAGCCCAAUCAUGAGGGGAGAGAGCCUCACCCAAACUGUUGGGAUCCAUAGCAGCGAUCGAGAGAGGCCAGCCGAAUCAGACCUGCAAU
rnacentral:lncRNA from 1 species